ensembl:miRNA
AGGCCGAGGCUGGUCAACAGCAGCUUCGCUUUGGCUCUGAAGGCUGUCUUCGGAGUUUGAAGCCCUUACCGCCAGAUGGUGGGUUGGCAUCAGUGGAUGGAAU